AGAGUUUGAUCCUGGCUCAGGAUGAACGCUGGCGGCGUGCUUAACACAUGCAAGUCGAACGAAGCACUCUAUUUGAUUUUCUUCGGAAAUGAAGAUUUUGUGACUGAGUGGCGGACGGGUGAGUAACGCGUGGGUAACCUGCCUCAUACAGGGGGAUAACAGUUGGAAACGACUGCUAAUACCGCAUAAGCGCACAGGAUCGCAUGAUCCGGUGUGAAAAACUCCGGUGGUAUGAGAUGGACCCGCGUCUGAUUAGCCAGUUGGCAGGGUAACGGCCUACCAAAGCGACGAUCAGUAGCCGACCUGAGAGGGUGACCGGCCACAUUGGGACUGAGACACGGCCCAAACUCCUACGGGAGGCAGCAGUGGGGAAUAUUGCACAAUGGGGGAAACCCUGAUGCAGCGACGCCGCGUGAGCGAAGAAGUAUUUCGGUAUGUAAAGCUCUAUCAGCAGGGAAGAAGAAUGACGGUACCUGACUAAGAAGCACCGGCUAAAUACGUGCCAGCAGCCGCGGUAAUACGUAUGGUGCAAGCGUUAUCCGGAUUUACUGGGUGUAAAGGGAGCGCAGGCGGUGCGGCAAGUCUGAUGUGAAAGCCCGGGGCUCAACCCCGGUACUGCAUUGGAAACUGUCGUACUAGAGUGUCGGAGGGGUAAGUGGAAUUCCUAGUGUAGCGGUGAAAUGCGUAGAUAUUAGGAGGAACACCAGUGGCGAAGGCGGCUUACUGGACGAUAACUGACGUUGAGGCUCGAAAGCGUGGGGAGCAAACAGGAUUAGAUACCCUGGUAGUCCACGCCGUAAACG
rnacentral:rRNA from 1 species